rnacentral:rRNA from 1 species
AGAGUUUGAUCUUGGCUCAGGACGAACGCUGGCGGCGUGCGUAAUACAUGCAAGUUGGCACGCUUUGAUUUUCACCGAAGCUUGCUCCACCGAAAAUCCAAGAGUAGCGAACGGGUGAGUAACGCGUGGGUAACCUACCUUUCAGCGGGGGAUAACUAUUGGAAACGAUAGCUAAUACCGCAUAACAAUGUUGGAUGCAUAUUCGACAUUUGAAAGUACCAAUUGGUACACUGAGAGAUGGACCCGCGUUGUAUUAGCUAGUUGGUAGUGUAAUGGACUACCAAGGCGAUGAUACAUAGCCGACCUGAGAGGGUGAUCGGCCACAUUGGGACUGAGACACGGCCCAAACUCCUACGGGAGGCAGCAGUAGGGAAUCUUCGGCAAUGGACGAAAGUCUGACCGAGCAACGCCGCGUGAGUGAAGAAGGUUUUCGGAUCGUAAAACUCUGUUGUUAGAGAAGAACGUUGCAUAGAGUGGAAAAUUAUGCAAGUGACGGUAUCUAACCAGAAAGGGACGGCUAACUACGUGCCAGCAGCCGCGGUAAUACGUAGGUCCCGAGCGUUGUCCGGAUUUAUUGGGCGUAAAGCGAGCGCAGGUGGUUUAAUAAGUCUGAUGUAAAAGGCAGUGGCUCAACCAUUGUGUGCAUUGGAAACUGUUAGACUUGAGUGCAGUAGAGGAGAGUGGAAUUCCAUGUGUAGCGGUGAAAUGCGUAGAUAUAUGGAGGAACACCGGUGGCGAAAGCGGCUCUCUGGACUGUCACUGACACUGAGGCUCGAAAGCGUGGGUAGCAAACAGGAUUAGAUACCCUGGUAGUCCACGCCGUAAACGAUGAGUGCUAGUUGUUUGGGGCUAUCCAGCCCUAAGUGACGCAGCA